AGCCUAGAUUUCGCCUGAGAUCGCGCCUAUAUCUGGUUCGUCGCAAGACGAUGGCGCUGAACCUCUCAAUGGACUGCGGGCAGACCCGGGGGCAGUACCCGGCGCCUCCACCUCAGCAGCUAGCUCGCGAUCUCAUCCAGGUGAGGUCGAUUUCGCCGGACGGUGAAAUGCACGGGCUGCUCAGGCGGGGGCGAAACAGGAUCGAUGGCCGCGAAGAAGUUGUGAAUUGUGCUCGGCAUGAUACCGCCGUUAUCGGGUCAAAACCUAAAUGCAAACGAUAACGUUCGCAUGAACGAAGUGCGCCUCGCGGCGUAACCGUUCGGGGUAGGUCCACCUUGCAACAGAACGGCCAUG
rnacentral:tmRNA from 1 species